rnacentral:rRNA from 1 species
GUGGCGAACGGGUGAGUAACACGUGACCAACCUGCCUCUUACAUUGGGACAACCAAAAGAAAUUCUGGCUAAUACCAAAUACUCCGCACAUAUCACAUGAUGUAUGCGGGAAAGCUUUUGCGGUAAGAGAUGGGGUCGCGGCCCAUUAGGUAGACGGCGGGGUAGAAGCCCACCGUGCCGAUGAUGGGUAGCCGGGUUGAGAGACCGACCGGCCACAUUGGGACUGAGAUACGGCCCAGACUCCUACGGGAGGCAGCAGUGGGGAAUAUUGCGCAAUGGGGGAAACCCUGACGCAGCAACGCCGCGUGCGGGAUGAAGGCCUUCGGGUUGUAAACCGCUUUCAGCAGGGAAGACAUCGACGGUACCUGCAGAAGAAGCCCCGGCUAACUACGUGCCAGCAGCCGCGGUAAUACGUAGGGGGCGAGCGUUAUCCGGAUUCAUUGGGCGUAAAGCGCGCGCAGGCGGUUGCUCAAGCGGAACCUCUAAUCUCGGGGCUUAACCUCGAGCCGGGUUCCGAACUGGACGACUCGAGUGCGGUAGAGGCAGAUGGAAUUCCCGGUGUAGCGGUGGAAUGCGCAGAUAUCGGGAAGAACACCAACGGCGAAGGCAGUCUGCUGG